CAAUUUCACACAGGUUUUGAGGAAAUAUUUGGCCACACUCAACUUGGGCAUGAAAACAUUUUCUACUGCACGCGCCUGAAGCGGAAGUCUAAAACAGAAGUUAAUGCGAUAGCACAUGUUUGUUUGUAGGAAGUGUUGUUACAGCUCUCAUUAGAUCUGUAAAGGGCUCUCUUUUUAGGAAUUGAGAAGAAGGAGGAGGACAGAAGGAGAGAUAGCUACUGAGAUUUCCAUGAACUGACACCUGGACCCAAAGCCUCAGCCAGGGCAUUCCACUGUUACCCCCAUCUGCCUGCAGUCGGGGCAGCCAUGGACAACAAAACUCAUCCCAGAGAGGGAGUGAGCCGAGUGUGAGAGAGUACGGGGAGUCAGGGUGUGUGCUCUGCCCUACACGACAACUACAGUGAGGCACGCAGGAAGAGGAAGAAAGAGACGGAGACCAGAAAACAGAACUGAAUGAAUGAAUGAAAAGAAACAACAGAUGAAAGAACAACUGAAUAAGAAUGAGCAAGUGAACAAACAAAACGCAGCAAGAGAGGAAACAAACAAAAGAACAAACCAAAAGAAAAAUGGCCGUUUCAGUCGGGUGGACACUAAAACGCUCAUCCUGUCCUAUAAUGCCUUGCUGAUUUCCCCUCUCAGUGUCCUCCUCCCUCACUGUCAACAGAGCUAAAAUUACAGUGGUGCUUUGAAACAUACAGGUUCUUCUUCUGACCCUGACCAGUCCAGCCUGAUACUACAGGAGGAAGUCCUAAUCAAAGAAACAACAAUCACUUAGGACAGCCAUUAAAGGUCCGUUUUUGGCAUGUCCCAGAGCUCCUGAACCCGUGCUGACAGACAGUAUGACAGAGCUCAAAGAAAAAAGCAAGUGGCAGCAGAAAGCUCAGAGA